rnacentral:rRNA from 1 species
UAAUACGGAGGGGGCAAGCGUUGUUCGGAAUUACUGGGCGUAAAGGGCGCGUAGGCGGCCUGUUGCGUCAGGUGUGAAAGCCCCGGGCUCAACCUGGGAUGUGCACUUGAUACGGGCGGGCUGGAAUCCGGGAGAGGAUGGUGGAAUUCCCAGUGUAGAGGUGAAAUUCGUAGAUAUUGGGAAGAACACCGAUGGCGAAGGCAGCCAUCUGGACCGGGAUUGACGCUGAGGCGCGAAAGCGUGGGGAGCAAACAGGAUUAGAUACCCUGGUAGUCCACGCCGUAAACGAUGUGCGCUAGCCGUCGGGCAGCAUGCUGUUCGGUGGCGCAGCCAACGCAUUAAGCGCACCGCCUGGGGAGUACGGCCGCAAGGUUA